rnacentral:rRNA from 1 species
AACGAACGCUGGCGGCAGGCUUAACACAUGCAAGUCGAACGCAUCCUUCGGGGUGAGUGGCAGACGGGUGAGUAACGCGUGGGAACGUGCCCUUCAGUUCGGGAUAACCCAGGGAAACUUGGGCUAAUACCGGAUACGUGCGAGAGCAGAAAGAUUUAUCGCUGAAGGAUCGGCCCGCGUCUGAUUAGCUAGUUGGUGAGGUAAUGGCUCACCAAGGCUACGAUCUAUAGCUGGUCUGAGAGGAUGAUCAGCCACACUGGGACUGAGACACGGCCCAGACUCCUACGGGAGGCAGCAGUAAGGAAUAUUGGACAAUGGAGGAAACUCUGAUCCAGCCAUGCCGCGUGAGUGAUGAAGGCCUUCGGGUUGUAAAGCUCUUUCAGAUGUGAAGAUGAUGACGGUAGCAUCAGAAGAAGCUCCGGCUAAAUUCGUGCCAGCAGCCGCCGUAA